AUUGAACGCUGGCGGCAUGCUUUACACAUGCAAGUCGAACGGUAACAGGUUAAGCUGACGAGUGGCGAACGGGUGAGUAAUGCAUCGGAACGCGCCCGAUCGUGGGGGAUAACGCAGCGAAAGCUGCGCUAAUACCGCAUACGAUCUGAGGAUGAAAGCGGGGGACCGUAAGGCCUCGCGCGAUCGGAGCGGCCGAUGUCAGCUUAGGUAGUUGGUGGGGUAAAGGCCCACCAAGCCGACGAUCUGUAACUGGUCUGAGAGGACGACCAGCCAAACUGGGACUGAGACCCGGCCCAGAAUCCGACGGGAGGCAGCAGUGGGGAAUUUUGGACAAGGGGCGAAAGCCUGAUCCAGCAAUGCCGCGUGCAGGAAGAAGGCCUUCGGGUUGUAAACUGCUUUUGUACGGAGCGAAAAGGUCCUUUCUAAUACAAGGGGCUCAUGACGGUACCGUAAGAAUAAGCACCGGCUAACUACGUGCCAGCCGCCGCCGUAACAC
rnacentral:rRNA from 1 species